CCGGGUUGUUUGGUCCAUUUUUGGUUGCCUCUGAGAUUCUGUUUUCACCGAGGACCCACAUAGGUAUUUCUCCAGCUCACAUCUAUCCACUGAGCUUCCAAUGCAUGUCAUCAACUGCGUACUUGGCACCGGAUGACUCAGACGCACACCAGCAUCAGACUGCACAUGGCAGGAAAGCCAACUCAAACCGGCUUACUUAGCAAGGGGAUUUCUCUCCCAUGGGAGGAUUGUCUCCAGAGGUGGUGCCCUGGUCUUCAGGCUCUGCUUUCCUUGCAGUCCCUGGAAUUGCACUUUCAGGCUGGUAGCAAGAUGGCCGCGGCACACCCAGGAUCUCACAAAAUUAAAAGUAUCCCUUUCUUCCAGUGGUCCCUUUUGAAAUACAUGACUACCUUUCCCAGAAGCUCCGCAGAAGAAAUGCCUGCAGGUUUCAAUGGCCAGAAGUAAGUCUCUGGCCACAACGAAACCCAGUCAACGGCAAGUGGAAGGAGUCCGCCAUGAUCGACUUGGGCUGAGAUUUUCCCUAGAUCUCUGCCUGGACUUUAGGCAGAGGAGAGCCAUGAUCAGAUUUGUAUUUUGAAAACAUCACUUUGUGCGGAAAACAGAUUGUAGGGGCACAAGGCUCACGGGGCAGUUGAGGAACCAUGGCAGUAGUUCAGGCAACAGAGAAUCGCAUGAAUUUGAAGGUAGAGAUGGAGAAUUGAAUGAGUUCCAGAGAUGUUUAAGACGGGAUGAUAUAGUUUGGAUAUGGUUUGACCCUUCCAAACCUCAUAUUGAAAUGUGACCCCCAAUGUUGAAAGUGGGGCCUGGUGGGAGUAUUUGGGUCAUGGAGGCUGAUCCCUCAUGAAAGGCUUGGUGCUGUCCUGGCAGUAGUGAGUUCUUGGCAGUAGUGAGUGAGUUCUAUUAGUUCCCGAGAGAAUUGAUUGUCAAAAAGAGCCUGUCACCUUCUCCUCCCCUGACCACUGCUCUCUCUCUUGCCAAAUGAUUCCUGCUGGCCUCUCCCUCUGCCAUGAAUGGAAGCUUCCUGAGGUCCUCACCAGAAGAUGCUGGUGCCAUGCUUCUUAUACUUAGUUGCCUCUGUCUUUCAUUUGACAUAUAUUUAUUGCAUGCUUAAUGACAUCUAGGCUUUAAAUGCUGGGGAGGCGUUGGAGAACAAAACAGACAUUGUUCCUCCUCAUGGAGCUACGGGAGAUAGAUGCUAAUCAAGUCAUCUCCCAAAUCAAUGGCUAAUUGCCCCAAGGAAGUGGACAAUGAGCUGAAUAAACCUCUUUUUAAAAAUAAA